CCUAAAGGCGCAAUGAAAGUAAAGGUUGACCUUGCGUUAACUAAGGGAGGAUGAGUUGCGUUACGAUGCUACUCCGCACUCCCGGGGCGUCUCGUUCUUAUUGCAAGAAGAGGCGCACCCAGAGCGUACACGUUGGGACCCGAAAGAUGGUGAACUAUGCCUGGUCAGGACGAAGUCAGGGGAAACCCUGAUGGAGGUCCGUAGCGAUUCUGACGUGCAAAUCGAUCGUCGGAACUGGGUAUAGGGGCGAAAGACUAAUCGAACCAUCUAGUAGCUGGUUCCCUCCGAAGUUUCCCUCAGGAUAGCUGGCACUCGUGAGUUCAUUGAACUUAUACGAGUCUCAUCUGGUAAAGCGAAUGAUUAGAGGCCUUGGGGUCGAAACGACCUCAACCUAUUCUCAAACUUUAAAUGGGUGAGAUCUCUGGCUUGCUUGAAUAUAUAAAAUUGAAGCCACGAGAUUUCGGAUCAGAGUGCCAAGUGG
rnacentral:rRNA from 1 species